rnacentral:rRNA from 1 species
AUGCAGACACGUAUAGCAUGCACAAUUGCAAAUACACAAUCCCAACUCUUCUUCUUCUCUUCAUCCUUGGAUCUAUACAUGUCAUGUUUGAAAACCAGUAUAGUGGCAAAUUUAAAUGCGAGUGACAGAGAAAGCAACAGGAAAAUAGAGGAGCACCUCCACAAGGUUCCUAUAGUCCAGGAAUGCAGAAAGCAGCAAAAAGCAUGGCCCAUCAAAGGUCUACAGCAAGUAAACUUCAGCAGCUUUGCCUAUUUAGCUAAACAUUUUUUAUUUUUACUUUUUCUUUAUGCUCAAUUUCGUAAAAGAACGACAAUUAAUUUAAAAAUCCAGUCACCAACAUAUAAAGUACACUUACAAAAAAGAGCUCUCAAUUUUGUAAAAGAACAACAAUUAAUUUAA